CCUACGGGAGGCAGCAGUGGGGAAUCUUGGACAAUGGGCGCAAGCCUGAUCCAGCCAUGCCGCGUGAGUGAAGAAGGCCUUCGGGUUGUAAAGCUCUUUCGGCCGGGAAGAAAUCGCAUUGGUUAAUACCUGGUGUGGAUGACGGUACCGGAAUAAGAAGCACCGGCUAACUACGUGCCAGCAGCCGCGGUAAUACGUAGGGUGCGAGCGUUAAUCGGAAUUACUGGGCGUAAAGCGUGCGCAGGCGGUUUUGUAAGACAGGCGUGAAAUCCCCGGGCUCAACCUGGGAACUGCGCUUGUGACUGCAAGGCUAGAGUACGGCAGAGGGGGGUGGAAUUCCACGUGUAGCAGUGAAAUGCGUAGAGAUGUGGAGGAACACCAAUGGCGAAGGCAGCCCCCUGGGUCGAUACUGACGCUCAUGCACGAAAGCGUGGGUAGCAAACAGGAUUAGAUACCCUGGUAGUCCACGCCCUAAACGAUGUCAACUAGGUGUUGGGAGGGUAAAACCUUUUAGUACCGGAGCUAACGCGUGAAGUUGACCGCCUGGGGAGUACGGCCGCAAGGUUAAAACUCAAAGGAAUUGACGGGGACCCGCACAAGCGGUGGAUGAUGUGGAUUAAUUCGAUGCAACGCGAAAAACCUUACCUACCCUUGACAUGUCAGGAAGUCUUGAGAGAUUGAGAUGUGCCCGAAAGGGAACCUGAACACAGGUGCUGCAUGGCUGUCGUCAGCUCGUGUCGUGAGAUGUUGGGUUAAGUCCCGCAACGAGCGCAACCCUUGUCGUUAAUUGCCAUCAUUUAGUUGGGCACUUUAGCGAGACUGCCGGUGACGAACCGGAGGAAGGUGGGGAUGACGUCAAGUCCUCAUGGCCCUUAUGGGUAGGGCUUCACACGUCAUACAAUGGUCGGUACAAAGGGUCGCCAACCCGCGAGGGGGAGCCAAUCCCAGAAAGCCGAUCGUAGUCCGGAUUGCAGGCUGCAACUCGCCUGCAUGAAGUCGGAAUCGCUAGUAAUCGUGGAUCAGCAUGUCACGGUGAAUACGUUCCCGGGCCUUGUACACA
rnacentral:rRNA from 1 species